GUUGCAGAUAAGGCUUAACAAUAUGGUAGAGAGACUUUCACACCUAUUGCUCCUUGGUUUGCUUAGCUCUGUUGCAGAUAAGGAAGAGAUGAUGAUCCAUGGCUCUGUUGCAGAGAUGUUAUUGGUCUUUUUGCUGCAGAGCUGAUUCAAAAGGAAUUUAUGGGUAUGUGGAAUCAGAAUUAAAAAGGUUAGUUUACUUGUUACUUACUACUACUAAAACUUGUUUCUACUAAACCUUGUUUUGCUUAGCUAUGUUGCAGAUCAGGCAAACCUUGUUAUAGAGUUUCUGGAAAACAAAUUGGCUUGGCUUGGUCACUGUUUAAUCUCGGUUCUGAUUUUGUAAGGUUCAUCCAUCUCAAUGUAGCUACUUGGCACACGAACUCAUUGUUUGGUAUCAGGGACAAGAAGUUUCAAUGGUUUCUGGAUUAGGUGAAGGCACAUCCCGUAGAGCUCAUUGCCAGCUAGGUUCUCCCAUUACAAAGGUUAUUCUUAAUAUUCAUCCUACUGGAUUGUAAAUUCCUGUUUGAGCUUUCCGGUCUCCACAUGCGCGCUACUAUAAUAAUGUCUUCCAUGGCUGUAAUGACCAAACUGAUAUUGACGACGUAACGGUAACAUGCUGCUGAAUGGCUAAGGGAUUUCUCAUCAGCCACGAACAUGAUUAGGUGCAUUUAUCAGUUCUAGAUGCUCAUAGUGAGUCUUCCUUGAACAAUAUUGUGGAGGGUUCAAGAACUGUUGGUAAACAAGUCAAUGUACUUUUAGUGUUUUAGCAUCAUGUUUUAGUCUUUACAACAUAAAUUUUUAAACACAGUUUGGUUAUGAGUUGGCUUUUUCUGUUUGGUUACAUAUUUUAAGCGCAUUAAUAUGGUGUCCAUAUGACAUGAUGUCCAUAACACUCAGGCCCAUGAGUGCUGGAGCUUGUUGGAGCUCAUUGCCAUCUAAGCUCUGCCAUGAACAUGCUUCUAUCAUCAUAUGCUCUAAGGAAGAUGAUAACCAUUACGAUAGUGACUUUUCCAGUGGAUCGUCUGCUUACAAAGAGUUUCUUGACCAGAAUCAGAUUUAAAAUAGAAUUCAAAAAUUUUGUUUCCUAUAAAUUUUGCAAAGCAUUGCACAUUAUUAUGAUACCAUCACAUUUACACUCUUUAAAGAUAGUUCGUGACUAUGCUCAGUUCAAGAUGAAUUGUACUUGGGUAUGUAAAACAUUGAUUUGUUUAUUUUCAAAGUUAUGGCUGAUUUACGGUUAA